GACGAACGCUGGCGGCGUGCCUAAUACAUGCAAGUAGAACGCUGAAGAGAGGAGCUUGCUCUUCUUGGAUGAGUUGCGAACGGGUGAGUAACGCGUAGGUAACCUGCCUUGUAGCGGGGGAUAACUAUUGGAAACGAUAGCUAAUACCGCAUAACAAUGGAUGACACAUGUCAUUUAUUUGAAAGGGGCAAUUGCUCCACUACAAUAUGGACCUGCGUUGUAUUAGCUAGUAGGUGAGGUAACGGCUCACCUAGGCGACGAUACAUAGCCUACCUGAGAGGGUGAUCGGCCACACUGGGACUGAGACACGGCCCAGACUCCUACGGGAGGCAGCAGUAGGGAAUCUUCGGCAAUGGGGGCAACCCUGACCGAGCAACGCCGCGUGAGUGAAGAAGGUUUUCGGAUCGUAAAGCUCUGUUGUAAGUCAAGAACGAGUGUGAGAGUGGAAAGUUCACACUGUGACGGUAGCUUACCAGAAAGGGACGGCUAACUACGUG
rnacentral:rRNA from 1 species